rnacentral:rRNA from 1 species
UACGUAGGGGGCAAGCGUUGUCCGGAUUUAUUGGGCGUAAAGAGCGCGUAGGCGGCCAUGUAGGUCCGUUGUGAAAACUCGAGGCUCAACCUCGAGACGCCGAUGGAAACCAUGUGGCUAGAGUCCGGAAGAGGAGAGUGGAAUUCCUGGUGUAGCGGUGAAAUGCGCAGAUAUCAGGAAGAACACCCGUGGCUAAGGCGGCUCUCUAGUACGGUACUGACGCUGAGACGCGAAAGCGUGGGGAGCAAACAGG